GUCACUCUUCUUCCCGGCUCCAGUCACCAAACUGCAAACUUUCCUGCACCUCCUUUCUCCAGCCCUGUCCUGGCUGCUUCAUAAGGGACAUUUUAUCCUGAUGUUUACUUAAAAAUGUUAGUGCUACAAAAUCCGGUGUGGUUGAAGAGGGCUCUGAGUGAGGAAGAGAGAUGAAGGCCCCUGCUCAAGAAAGAUUUAGGGCGGCUCAGACCCUGGUGGCACCAGUGAAAGAAGCCAACCAAGUGCAUUAGAAAGAAGAGGAUAAUAAGAAUGGAUUGGUGGAACCACAGGAAGUAGAACUGAUAGUAAUCAACUCACCAACAAGUCCAAGAAGGAGCUAGAAGCUAGCUCCCUAUGCUACAGAUGCAGAAUCUGAGGCUCAGAUUCACGCUUUUACCUUCAUAUUCCACAAUGCUUGAUCUUUGGGAGCAUGAAAUUAAAAAAAGACCUCACAGAUUACAGGAAGCAUGGCUUAUGGGCUGUUUGUCCUCACAGUGUCUCUUCCGAACAACAGUGUUCCAGUACACACCUGUUGGAUCCCAGUCAGAGCUUACUUUCAGGCACCCAGACAAAAGAGGCAAUGCACAGUUUUCAAUGGGCAAGAGAAUACAGCACCAUUUGUUCCUCACUUUUCUAUCUCUGGGAGAAGCAACUUGUGUGGACAAUCUUCCUACUACACCCAAGUGUCGCUUACUUCUUGAGGGCAUGUGAAGGUCCUUUGGUAUGAAGCCAGGAUGGGCUUGCUUCCUAACCUUGUAACUGCUGACUCAUUUGUGAAGACCCACAACAUUUAGGAGAAUGCCCCAGGACCAGGAGAGGGAAAGGUGUGAUGACCAGGCUUGUGCUUUGACUCAUCCUAGGGAAAUGUCCUUGUACGAGGGCUUGUACAAGUACAAGCCCUUCAGAUACUUGCUUAUCUUUCCCCCGUUAGCACAUCUGUCCCUGCAAAUCUUAUCCAGUUACUGUGUAAUGAGUCACCAAAGCACUGCAGAUGUGUGGGUGCUGAUACUCAUCCCCUCGAUAGUCACAGAGAUCUCAAGUCUUGGUGGCAAACCUAGUACAGUAUCUAGAAACAUUGCAUUGAAAUCCAUUGGGGAUAUGAGGAAUUUAUAUUUCUGAAGUCAUGACUGUUGAUUCUUUUGCAAUAGAAAUUAUUCACCCCUGCUCACUUUCCUCCACUAAAGUAAGAAUGAGUUAGUAUUAAUUUUGGUUUGAAAUGGAUCAAAAAAGUGUCAAAUGACUGUUCUCUUCUCCUGUAUCUACAGCCAUUGCAGUGGAUUCUGUUAACUCCCAGGAUACAAGAGGGCAGAUGAGUGGAAGAAAAGUAGCAGAAUUCUAAGGUUGGUCCCUCGGCUGUUGUUUUUAUAGGACAUUCCUAUGGUUCCCAGAAGGGACAUUGUAAGGGAAAUAGACACCGGGUUCCAGGCAGUGCUCACCAGACACCCAGAAACUGGGACAGGGAUACAAGGUGGAAGUGCAGUUAUCGAAUCUGGCCAUAAGGCCAUAGAUGGAGAAGCAGGGCAGUUGGAUGGGGAGUCUCAAUGUGUUGGUCCAAGCUCUUAAAUUCCUGUGAUCUCCAUUUAAGUCCCUAAAUUGGUCUUACAGGCAGGAGUAGGUCUGUUUGUGUGUGGCGUCCUAGUCAGUAUUCCCUGUUUGUACCAUACAGGGGCCAGUAGUGCCACUCCAGUUGUGUGAUUUACAAAGAAGCAUGUGGCCAAGCUGAAAUCCAGGACUCCUGCUCACAAGCCAAGUGUCUCCAUGGUCUGUGUUGGUUCAUUGGCAACACCUUUCUGUAAGUCCCAGAAAGAUUCCCUAUACGCUUGGGGUAACCCUGCCGUGAGGAUCAUUUGGCCCAGGACUUAUAGUUGGGAAAAUCUUCAGAUUUACCUUCUGGAGAUAACCCACAAAGAUGUUUUCCCUCCAGUCAUGGAGAUAGUUAGGAUUGGAAUCGGGGGCCUGGUUCAUCAUUCAGUUCAAACAGGUCCAUCCCAUCAAAAGACCACUAUCACCGCUGUUGUGACGUUCCCGUGAGUCAGAACAAAGGCAGGCACAGGUUUGGCAAUUGGAGAGGGAGCCAGAUUGUAAUCUCCCCUCUUCCCCUGGGCCAACUUGCACAUCACACCUGGUGGCUCUGCCUCUAUGUCACUUAAAAAAUAAGGGCUGAAACACAUUUUGUAAAUGGAAAACUCAUUACAUUACAUUUUUUGUUCUAGACUACUAAUUGCUCCCAUAAUGAAAACAUCACAGUUUUUGUUAAUGCAUUUUAGUACACCUUCAUUUUUAAAUACGUCGGCACUGUAAAAAAAAAAAAAAAAGAAAAAAUAGAAGUAGACUGUGUCUCCCUCGUUCUCUUGACUUCUGGCUCUUUCUUACUCUCUUGACUUCCAGUCAUGGAGCAGGAGGGAAGAGGCAGGAGCUGGAGCUAGGCAGGCCUGACACCUUCCCUGCAAGCACUGAGCUCCCUGCGGCGGCUUGUCAUCUUUAAUAAUUCUUCCUCCAGGAAAUGUCAUUGCUUCAUUGCAUUGCAAGAAAAUGAUGUCAUGGUGUGGAGCCCUGAUCCAUUUCCUGACUUUUAACCUGAGUCUGGUAACCUUUUUCAGCUGUCCUGCACCCAACGAAAAUGAAACACAUUGAAAUGUAAAGGCCAGCGCAUCUCAUAAAGGUUUUUGAGGCCCCAGGGCGGGGCUAGCUUCUGCAUAUACAUUAAUGAUCAAAAUACAGUCAUGUUUGGGUGUCACAUCCUGGAUAUGGCAGGGACCCAGUACUUCGGAAAUGGAAAGGAAAUAAUCUUCAGGAUGUGUCUAAAAUUUCUUGGCAGAAACUCUCCCUUCCCCUAACAGUGGGUUUAAUUAGUAGUGACAAAGUUAAAUUUAAUUAGGAUGCCUUGCUCGUUUUUUGUUCGGGUGGUGGUUUUUGUUGUUAAACUCUGUGUGAAAACGACCAAUGGCCCCCGGACUGAUAUUUUAAAGUUUACACACUGCAUUUGUGUCCCCACGUCUUAGGACUGCUUACAACCCGAGCCCAAAUGACAUUAUGAAGCUAUUUCCUGGAAUGUCAAGGGCUGAAAUCGCCCUGUCAAAAACGACUCUGUUCUUUCAGGGAUUUCAGAGAGCAAGGGCUCAGAUUGCAUUCUUGCUCUGUUAUUAUAAGUUUUUCCCUGGCAGGAAACCACUGGGUCUCAGAUAAUUUGCAUAUAUCCAAUGAGAGCGAUCUACUGUUCUAAGGAGGUUUUCAAGAUUGCAUGACAGCACCAGGCAAGAAUCUCAUAUGGGGAAAGGGGAUUUUUUUCCCCUCUUUUCCUAAGCUCCAUUUAAAAUAGUUUCCUUCCCACAAGCUGAUGUGUCCACAUUCAAAGAGUUACAAGUAACCCAGCCCAUUUUCCUGCCUUGGCCCCUGUCACUAGUUGGGUAAUAUCAACAGCCACACAAAACUGGAAACAGGCUGUUUAAAGUGAGGUGCCUUAUUCCUUCCGGUCUAUAAAGCAGACAUUUUGGCACGUGAUGGUGGUGAAUUAACCAUUUAGUUCUCUCAGGCAAGGGCACAGUAAAAUGCUUGUUCGUUUCUUUGUGGCUGCAAGGGCAAGAAAUAAUCACACAGAUUUCUUGAUGCCUUGAAUACAAUUUUUAACAUUAUACAUAAGAUUCCAAUUAGCCCAUUGCACUACUUCAUUUGGCAUCAUAAAAAUAUGUACUGGUUUGAGACCCUCAGAAUUACGCAUAUUUUGCUGAAGGAUUUUUGCUAUAGUUCUGAAAAGUAACUAAUUGACUUUCAUUGCUCUUACAAUGGCUGGAGCUGGUACUCUUGCUAAAAUGCUUGACAGUCACCUUAAAUUUUUUUUUUCAGAACAAAGUGGGGUAUAAAUAAGAAAGCAAAUAAAUAACCAAGGUACCCAAUACUGGAUAGGGAU
rnacentral:lncRNA from 1 species